rnacentral:rRNA from 1 species
UACAGAGGUCUCAAGCGUUGUUCGGAUUCAUUGGGCGUAAAGGGUGCGUAGGUGGCGCGGUAAGUCAGGUGUGAAAUUUCGGAGCUUAACUCCGAAACUGCAUUCGAUACUGCCGUGCUUGAGGACUGGAGAGGAGACUGGAAUUUACGGUGUAGCAGUGAAAUGCGUAGAGAUCGUAAGGAAGACCAGUGGCGAAGGCGGGUCUCUGGACAGUUCCUGACACUGAGGCACGAAGGCCAGGGGAGCAAACGGG